GAACAGUAAAUGCUGAGUGAGGUGUAUUUUUGGUUUUUGUUGUUGUUAUUUUUAUCCUGAAGCUCCAAUAAUGUACCAAAUAGAAGACUCAUAAUAUGUACAGGUAAAGAAGCUGAUGGCAGCUGGAUUAGUGAUGUGCCCAUCUCACUUUCUCUCAGAUGUGUCCAGCUCUUCGUGAUCCCAUGGACUGCAGCCUGCCAGGCUACUCUGUCCAUGCAAUUCUUCAGGCGAGAAUACGGGAGUGGGUUGCCAUGACCUCCUCCAGGGGAUCUUCCCAACCCAAGGAUCGAACCUGCAUCUCUGGCAUCUCCUGUAUUGGCAGCAACAUGGAUGGAUGUAGAAGCUGUCAUACUGAGUGAAGUACGUCAGACACAGAAAGACAAGUGUCGUAUGAUACCACUUAUCUGUGUAAUCUAAAACAAAGGAUACAAACAAACUUAUUUACAGAGCAGAAGGAGAGUCACAGAUGUAGGAAACAAAGUUUUGGUUACUACAAGCUAAAGAAAACAGAAGAUCGAGACAGGCUAAGUGAAGAUCACAAAGCCAGUCAAUGUGGAGCUGAAUCUGAGACUGAGGACUUCUAAUGCUUGGUUCAAAGAGCAAGCAGGAGAUAAAAUAGUAGCGUACUGGAUUCAUUAAA
ensembl:lncRNA